rnacentral:misc_RNA from 1 species
UCAGGGAGUUUGAGAUCCGGUCUUCGCCAGGACUCUUGGCUGAAGCUAGUGAAGAGAUCUGAGUGAGAAGUUCCUCCAGUUUAAAGGACACAGGAGCCAAGGGAGGAGAUUGAGGUUCAUUCUGGGGGAGAAUCUUUCUUCGAGGUGUUUGGCAAAUGCAUCAGCUUUUUCCUUCGGGGUUCGGGUCCAUCUGUAGGUUUGAGACUUGGUCAAGUUCCUGUGAGUCUCAUACUGGAGCGGUAUCUUGAGUGGAUGGUCCGCAGGAGGUUGCCUUUUAAUGUGCCUAGUGAUUCUCCAUAUUUUGGCCAUGUUGUAUCUGUCAGCUGGGUCCAGAUCCGUGAGCAUCCUGUCCAUCCUAGCCCGUUUCAGGUGAGGGAUCCGUCAACAUUGCUUGUUGGCAGGCUAGCGCUUUCUCAAGGAGAAGUCUGGCAGUUUUGUCCAGCCUUAUCUUGGAGUGAUGUGGGCGUUUGUUGGUGUUUGUGGAGACGCGGUUUGUGGUGGAGGAGGCAUGGGUGGCUGCCAGCUCUAUGUUUUUCAAAAGUGUUUCUGGAAAGCACGUAUGGAUUGGGAUCCUCUUGGAAGGGGAAGAGGUCUGGCAGAGUUUUGAUCUGGAGAGGGUGGACUCAAGGGGAUCAUGCCCAUAGAAACCGUGAUCAGGAUUGGAACAUGGUCAGAGGUUAAUUCAUUUGCGGAGGUUAUAGAGAUGUGGCUGGCAAGGAAACCUGAGUAGAC